rnacentral:rRNA from 1 species
GGGGAGGCUAAUCAUGCAGUCGAGCGAGCUUGCCUAGAUGAUUUUAGUGCUUGCACUAAAUGAAACUAGAUACAAGCGAGCGGCGGACGGGUGAGUAACACGUGGGUAACCUGCCCAAGAGACUGGGAUAACACCUGGAAACAGAUGCUAAUACCGGAUAACAACACUAGACGCAUGUCUAGAGUUUGAAAGAUGGUUCUGCUAUCACUCUUGGAUGGACCUGCGGUGCAUUAGCUAGUUGGUAAGGUAACGGCUUACCAAGGCAAUGAUGCAUAGCCGAGUUGAGAGACUGAUCGGCCACAUUGGGACUGAGACACGGCCCAAACUCCUACGGGAGGCAGCAGUAGGGAAUCUUCCACAAUGGGCGAAAGUCUGAUGGAGCAACGCCGCGUGAGUGAAGAAGGGUUUCGGCUCGUAAAGCUCUGUUGGUAGUGAAGAAAGAUAGAGGUAGUAACUGGCCUUUAUUUGACGGUAAUUACUUAGAAAGUCAACGCUAACUACGUGCCAGCAGCCGCGGUAAUACGUAGGUGGGCAGCGUUGUCCGGAUUUAUUGGGCGUNAAGCGAGUGCAAGCGGUUCAAUUAGUCUGAAGUGAAAGCCUUCGGCCUCACCCGGAAAUUGCUUCAAAAAUUGUUAAAUUUGAUUGCAAAAAAGGAAAUGGAACUCAUGUGUUACCGGGGAAAGGGUAAAUAAUGGGAAAAAACCAGUGGCGAAGGGGGUCUUCGGUUCUGCAAUGACCCAAAGCCCAAAA